AUGAAAAUCACCUGAGGAUCUUGUUAAAAUGAAGAUUAUGAUGCAGUGGGUUCAGGCUGGGACCUGAGUUUCCACAUUUCUAACCAGCUCCCAGGUGAUGCUGUU
rnacentral:pre_miRNA from 1 species